rnacentral:tRNA from 1 species
GCCUUCAUGGUGUAACAGUAGCACACUCGGUGUGUAUUCAAGAGGUCCAGGUUUGAGUCCCAGUGAGGGCA